ACCAGGUACACAGGAAAAGCCUCAGGAACUUUUGAAUUUAAUUUCCUGUUUGGUCAGCAUGGCGAGCUCAGCAGAACAAGUGACCAUGCAGUCCCAGAAUCGCAUAAUGAGCUCCAGCAUGGAGUGAACGGGAAACGCUGGAUCGGAUUGCUGUAUGGGGAGAAGAAUCUGUGCAGGCAAAACUCCGAUCCAGCAGAAGAAAUGUUGAUAUAUACCAAAAUUGCACAAGGCAUGAUGGAGAGAGGCUACACCAGGGAGACCCCGCAGUGCCAUGUGAAAGUAAAGGAGCUCAAGCAAGCCUACCACAAGACAAGGGAUGCAAACGGUCGCUCCGGGUCAGAGCCCCAUACAUGAUGCUUCUGUGAUCAGCCGCAUGCCAUUCUAGGUGGGGACCCUACCAGUACUCCUCCACUGUCUGUUGACAUCUGCAAGGGGGGAGUCUCACGCAACAUGGAAGAGGAUUUUGUGGAUGAGGAGAAGAAGAAUGUGCAGCAGGCAAGCAGAGAAUCCGUUCUCCCUGGCAGCCAGGACCUUUUCAUCACUCUGGAGCCAGUACCCUCCCACGGCGAAUUGUACCUGGACCCUGAAGAUGGAGAAGGCACCUCUGGUGCCCAUAUUUCUAUGCUCCCCAUAUCAACUCCAUCCCUGAGGUUAUCGCAGAUUAAAAGCUGAAAAAAACGCACUUGUGAUGACGUUUUCUGAGCUCAUGCAGUUCUCCCACAUGGACAGGGCACAACUGAAUGCAUGGAGGCAUUCAGUGGCAGAGGCCAUGAAAGCAUACAGUGACCGUGAUCAGAACACACAGGAGGAGAUGCUGAAGCUAAUGGGGCAACAAACGGACAUGAUCAGGCAUCUGGUGGAGCUGCAGGAAAGGCAACUAGAGCACAGACCCACGUUGCAUCCAUUGUAUAACCGUCCUCGUCAAGUUCCAUAUCCUCCUCACCCAGAUGCCCAAGAACGCAGGAGGGGGCACCUAGCCACUCAACUCUAGAGGAUGGCCCAAGCAACAGACGGCUGUCAUUCAAACAGCUUUGAUUUGCAGUGUGACUACAAUAAGCAAUGGGGGAUUGUCCUUCCCUCCUCCCCCACUCCACCCAGGCUACUGUAUCAGUGAUCUCCCUU